AUUGAACGCUGGCGGCAUGCCUUACACAUGCAAGUCGAACGGUAACAGGUCUUCGGACGCUGACGAGUGGCGAACGGGUGAGUAAUACAUCGGAACGUGCCCGAUCGUGGGGGAUAACGAGGCGAAAGCUUUGCUAAUACCGCAUACGAUCUACGGAUGAAAGCGGGGGAUCUUCGGACCUCGCGCGGACGGAGCGGCCGAUGGCAGAUUAGGUAGUUGGUGGGAUAAAAGCUUACCAAGCCGACGAUCUGUAGCUGGUCUGAGAGGAUGAUCAGCCACACUGGGACUGAGACACGGCCCAGACUCCUACGGGAGGCAGCAGUGGGGAAUUUUGGACAAUGGGCGAAAGCCUGAUCCAGCCAUGCCGCGUGCAGGAUGAAGACCUUCGGGUUGUAAACUGCUUUUGUACGGAACGAAAAGCCUCUUUCUAAUAAAGAGGGGUCAUGACGGUACCGUAAGAAUAAGCACCGGCUAACUACGUG
rnacentral:rRNA from 1 species